CCUACGGGAGGCAGCAGUAAGGAAUAUUGGUCAAUGGACGCAAGUCUGAACCAGCCAUGCCGCGUGAAGGAUUAAGGCCUCUGGAUUGUAAACUUCUUUUAUAGGGGGCGCGGUACCCUAUGAAUAAGCACCGGCUAACUCCGUGCCAGCAGCCGCGGUAAUACGGAGGGUGCAAGCGUUAUCCGGAUUUACUGGGUUUAAAGGGUGCGUAGGCGGAUUUGUAAGUCUGAGGUGAAAUCUCCGAGCUUAACUCGGAAACUGCCUUGGAUACUAUAAGUCUUGAAUGUCGUUGAGGUCAGCGGAAUAUGUCAUGUAGCGGUGAAAUGCUUAGAUAUGACAUAGAACACCUAUUGCGAAGGCAGCUGACUACGAAUAUUGACGCUGAGGCACGAAAGCGUGGGGAUCAAACAGGAUUAGAUACCCUUGUAGUC
rnacentral:rRNA from 1 species